rnacentral:rRNA from 1 species
GAGUUUGAUCCUGGCUCAGGAUGAACGCUAGCUACAGGCUUAACACAUGCAAGUCGAGGGGCAGCGGGGGUGCAGGCUUGCCUGCACCUGCCGGCGACCGGCGCACGGGUGAGUAACACGUAUGGAACCUGCCCGCCACAGGGGGAUAACCCGGGGAAACCCGGCCUAAUACCCCAUGCCGCCCGGACCGGGCAUCCGGACCGGGCGAAAGGAGGAAUCCGGUGGCGGCUGGGCAUGCGGCGCAUUAGCUUGACGGCGGGGUAACGGCCCACCGUGGCGACGAUGCGUAGGGGUUCUGAGAGGAAGGCCCCCCACACUGGAACUGAGACACGGUCCAGACUCCUACGGGAGGCAGCAGUGAGGAAUAUUGGUCAAUGGGCGGAAGCCUGAACCAGCCAAGUCGCGUGAGGGAAUAAGGCCCUACGGGUCGUAAACCUCUUUUGCCGGGGAGCAAGGGCCGGGACGAGUCCCGGUCCGGAGAGUACCCGGAGAAAAAGCAUCGGCUAACUCCGUGCCAGCAGCCGCGGUAAUACGGAGGAUGCGAGCGUUAUCCGGAUUUAUUGGGUUUAAAGGGUGCGUAGGCGGGCUUUUAAGUCAGCGGUAAAAAUUCGGGGCUCAACCCCGUCCGGCCGUUGAAACUGGGGGCCUUGAGUGGGCGAGAAGAAGGCGGAAUGCGUGGU